CCUACGGGGGGCAGCAGUGGGGAAUAUUGGUCAAUGGGCGCAAGCCUGACCCAGCAACGCCGCGUGAAGGAAGAAGGCUUUCGGGUUGUAAACUUCUUUUCUCAGGGACGAAGCAAGUGACGGUACCUGAGGAAUAAGCCACGGCUAACUACGUGCCAGCAGCCGCGGGAAUACGUAGGUGGCAAGCGUUAUCCGGCUUUACUGGUUGUAAAGGGCGUGUAGGCGGGAAAGCAAGUCAGAUGUGAAAACCAUGGGCUCAACCUGUGGCCUGCAUUUGAAACUGUUUUUCUUGAGUACUGGAGAGGCAGACGGAAGUCCUAGUGUAGCGGUGAAAUGCGGAGAUAUUAGGAGGAACACCAGUGGCGAAGGCGGUCUGCUGGACAGCAACUGACGCUGAGGCGCGAAAGCGUGGGGAGCAAACAGGAUUAGAUACCCGGGUAGUC
rnacentral:rRNA from 1 species